rnacentral:other from 1 species
AUCUCUUUUUAAGGUAGGGACUAAGGUCUCCUAGCCCUUCCCCCCCUGGGCUUUCCAGGAUCAAGGGGGUUCUAAAGCUAGGCCAUGUUUCCUGAGCCUCAUUUAGUACGGAGAGUUAGUAGUCAUAAAACAUGCCAGUAACCUUCUAGUGCCCAAGGGUGACAGAGUGGUAACACUCUCCUUGGGGCCCGAAAGGCUAGUGGGCAUAGUUGUUACCAAGGAAGGGGUCCCCACCCCAACCUGAACUAACAGCUAGAAGCUCACCUUAGAAGAAGUGCUGGAUCCCAACAUGUCUUAUAAUGAAAGCUCAAUGGAAAGGUGAGGAGAUGGAAGCAUGGGGGUUCACUGAGUAGAUGCCCUGAAGGAGAAAUCUGAUCAGGGGCCCGUGACUAUACAUUAGGUAAACCGGGUAUAAAAACCAUGAAAGGUGACCCACAAAUUUUCCUUUAUUUUUAUGUUUUG